rnacentral:lncRNA from 1 species
GCACAAAACUAGUGGCCACACGCACCCUACAAGAGGGCAGCUUCAAGUGCGGUGUAAACUGAAAAACCAACCCACGCUGGCGACAGUGAAGAGCUGGAGCGAGGUUGAGGGAAUUGAGAAGCUAGUAGACUGGGCACACGCGGUCUCCACUGGAACGACUUCCCCUUUCCAAAAAACGGUAGGCUGAAAUUACAUCUUAAGCAGUCAGGAUC